CCAUCACCCACAUGUGGUGUAUGUGCUACCACCGUGUCUCUGCUCCCUGCGCUGUGAGUCAGUCAGUGGAGAUGUGUGUCGGAACAGCGCAGGUUCAGAGAGGCCAAACAACAUCUGCACGGACUCUAUGGGCAGCGCACUUGACUGGACGAAGCUGCUGUGUGCAUCAGUAGAACCCGACUGACUCUCCUCCACCAGUCAUACAAGGAGAAGGGUCUAAUGCCUCUCAUCAAAAAGAGAGUCGGCCCAAGCAAGCACAGGUUACAACUGAAGCAUGAGGACUUGCAGUGAGUUGUGAACUUCGUCAACAACUAUGCAGAGGAUAAGGCAACAGUAUUACCAGGACGCCACCCAAGACACAAACACUUUGGUGGAAAGCUGCUGCCAUCUCAUGUGACAAAAGCAGCAGUGUGGCGUCUCCACAAGGAAUCGAUGACAACACUUGGAAUGUACAUGUAGUCAGGCUGUCUUCCUUCAGGAAUCUGUGGAGAAAUUGCUGGUGUGGUCAAGGACAGCACUGUGACCGGGGGUCAACAUCCCACAACAGGUUGGACUGCAGAAUGGUAUAGUGCUGGUGGAAAGUUAUGGCUGGCAACAAAACAUGACUGCAUACUUCAGGCCGCAACCACAGAUCAAGUAGUACCAGCACUUCAGCUGCAAUUCUCUAGAGCCUGGUGUUGUUGUCUGUCACGACUUCCGCCAAAGUCGGCCCCUCUUCUUGUUCGGGCGGCGUUCGACGCCACCGGCUUUCUAGCCAUCGCCGCUCCAUUUUUCAUUUAUCCAUUUGUUUUGUCUUGUUCCCUGCACACCUGGUUUACAUUCCCCAAUCACACUACAUGUAUUUAUUCCUCUGUUCCCCCUCAUGUCCUUGUGUGAGAUUGUUUUGUGUUACGUGUCUGUGUUGACACGCUUUACUUGUAUGCGUUUAUUCCGUGUUUUAUUUCACGAGGUUUCAUGUUAUUGUGUUUAUACAAUAUUAUUUUGACUGUUUGCGCAUUUGCACUUUUGCAUUGGCUGGAGAUUUUGACGCAGUGGCGUCCGUCUGUUGGUUUCUCCUGCCUUAAUAAAGUGUGCGCCUGUUCACAACUCUCUGCUCUCCUGCACCUGACUCCGCUCCCAGUACACACGCCAUUGACAUUGUCGCCAAGGAGCAUUCGGACUCAGGUCAGGACCAGGUUUCAGCUGCUGCGCAGCGCUGACGUCCUUCCUCCCAUAGAUGGUCUGCCUGUAUAAGCACCACUUGGACUGGACACAACUAGACAAACCUAUUUUUUUUUUUAGAAGAUCAGGGAGUUUUGCACAUCACAAUCUCCCUACCAUCAAUUGCACAUCUCUAGCCAUAGCCACAGAAAACGAUAUAGUUACAAUUGGUCCGUAGUUGCAUUAGUCAGUUUUUUGUCCAAAAUAUUGAGUCAUUGAAACUGAAACAGUGCAUCCCGAAUGGUUGAAGGCAGCAAACAAUGUACCAGGCCAGCUGCGAUUUACAACCUGAUAGCAA